rnacentral:lncRNA from 1 species
UCAAGGUCAUCCAGCUGGGAGGUGGUAAUGCCCGAUGGAGCUCCUCUGAGGCCAGGCUGGGGGUUCCAGAGGGUGGAUCCUUUCCUGAGCCACUGUCAGGCCCCCAAACACGCACUGAGGGGUUACAUGGGCCUAACAAGUCUCACUAACCCCUGGUGGGGGGGCGGCCCAUGUCCAGAUGAGAGGCUCAGAGAAGACCAGCAUGCCCCAAGGCUGCCAAGCAUGGAGUGGUGGCACUGGCACUCUGCCACCUGCGGUCACAACCUGUGCACUCUUCCCAGUGCCUGGACCGGGUCCUUGGGGAAAUGAUAUGGGUUGGGGUCUGAAAACUGAGGCUCGCGGUGGUUGGGCUGGAUGGCUCACCUUUUCCACCUGAUCCGGGUGUCUCCGUCCAGUAAUCAUCUCCCACGUCAGCAAAUGAAGAGUCCCUGUCAGAAAGGCUGUCCUGGGAGCAUUCUGUCGGGUUCUGGAAGAGGAGCGGUAGACCCAUCCCGAGCGUGGGCUUCCUGUAGGCAGGGCACCUCCUGCUGGAGAGGCGACAGCCCAGUCUGUGCACGGCUGCGUGUGGUGAGAAGACCAGAAGGAAAUACACCAAAACGUUAGCAGUGGCUCUGUCUGGGUGAAGGAAUCAGAGAAGGCUUUAUUUUUCAUGCAAAAACAGCCAGGGGGCAGGAUCCGUCUAGAGUUGGGGGUGAUGCCGAGGCCCCACAGCCGAGCCCCUGGACCAGCCCAUCCCUGCCCAAGGCGCCCCUGUGACUCACGGCAGAGGCCUCCUGCAUCAGGCAGCCAGAGG